UUCAACGGAGAGUUUGAUCCUGGCUCAGGACGAACGCUGGCGGCGUGCUUAACACAUGCAAGUCGAGCGGUAAGGCCUUUCGGGGUACACGAGCGGCGAACGGGUGAGUAACACGUGGGUGAUCUGCCCUGCACUUCGGGAUAAGCCUGGGAAACUGGGUCUAAUACCGGAUAUGACCUCCUAUCGCAUGGUGGGUGGUGGA
rnacentral:rRNA from 1 species